rnacentral:lncRNA from 1 species
GCAGCUUGAUCGAUGAUCACAUGGUCUCAUUAAUGUCAAGCUAAUUCAGGAAAUAACAGUGCCGACAAUGGAGAACACGACGAGGUCAGCUUGGGACUUAGUUUGAUGGCAGCCUGGGAGGUGACGUCGAGCAGAGACAAGAUCCUCCGUCUCUAAACUGUUCUGAUCCUCCAUGUUUUCGGCUUUGACGCUGUCUUGGCCACGCAUGAACUCAGAUGUCAUGUCUUCUAAUCAAGUAGGCGGCCG